GUGCUUGCUUUGGCAACACAUUUACUAAAACUGGAAAGAUACAGAAAAGAUUAUCAUGGCCCCAGGGCAAUGAUGACACACAAGUUUGUGAAGCAUUCAUGUGUUUG
rnacentral:snRNA from 1 species